GAUGAACGCUGGCGGCGUGCCUAAUACAUGCAAGUCGAGCGAACAGACGAGGAGCUUGCUCCUCUGACGUUAGCGGCGGACGGGUGAGUAACACGUGGAUAACCUACCUAUAAGACUGGGAUAACUUCGGGAAACCGGAGCUAAUACCGGAUAAUAUAUUGAACCGCAUGGUUCAAUAGUGAAAGACGGUUUUGCUGUCACUUAUAGAUGGAUCCGCGCCGCAUUAGCUAGUUGGUAAGGUAACGGCUUACCAAGGCAACGAUGCGUAGCCGACCUGGGAGGGUGAUCGGCCACACUGGAACUGAGACGCGGUCCAGACUCCUACGGGAGGCAGCAGUAGGGAAUCUUCCGCAAUGGGCGAAAGCCUGACGGAGCAACGCCGCGUGAGUGAUGAAGGUCUUCGGAUCGUAAAACUCUGUUAUUAGGGAAGAACAAAUGUGUAAGUAACUAUGCACGUCUUGACGGUACCUAAUCAGAAAGCAACGGCUAACUACGUG
rnacentral:rRNA from 1 species